AUACUUACCUGGCAGGGGAGAUCUCAUGAUCAUAAGGGUGAUUUUUCCCAAGGUGAGGUUCAUCCAUUCCACUCCAGGUAUGCUAACUCGUGACUUCUCCAAAUGCAGGGAAGUCAGCGGCAUAAUUUGUGGUAGUAGAGAGAGUAUGCGUGCUCUAUCAC